rnacentral:rRNA from 1 species
CACGUAGGCGGGUCUUUAAGUCGGGGUGAAAUCCUGGAGCUCAACUCCAGAACUGCCUUCGAUACUGAGGAUCUCGAGUCCGGGAGAGGUGAGUGGAACUCCGAGUGUAGAGGCGAAAUUCGUAGAUAUUCGGAAGAACACCAGUGGCGAAGGCGGCUCACUGGCCCGGUACUGACGCUGAGGUGCGAAAGCGUGGGGAGCAAACA